rnacentral:snRNA from 1 species
AGUAGAUUAGCAUGUCCCUGUGCAAGGAUGACAUGCAAAUUCGUGAAGCAUUCCAUAUUUUU